GGUUGACCUCGGAUCAGGUAGGAAGACCCGCUGAACUUAAGCAUAUCAAUAAGCGGAGGAAAAGAAACCAACAGGGAUUGCCCUAGUAA
rnacentral:rRNA from 2 species